rnacentral:rRNA from 1 species
GGAUGGCCCUGUUGCAGGACUAAAGACCGCUUUCUAAUCCAUUGAUCUUCGGAUUAAUAUUCAUAACAUCUGGCCUCAAAUCAGGUAGGACUACCCGCUGAACUUAAGCAUAUCAAUAAGCGGAGGAAAAGAAACUAACAAGGAUUCCCCUAGUAACGGCGAGUGAAGCGGGAAGAGCUCAAAUUUGAAAUCUGGUAGCCUUCGGUUGCCCGAGUUGUAAUCUAGAGAAGUGUUUUCCGCGUUGGCCCAUGUACAAGUCCCUUGGAACAGGGCGUCAUAGAGGGUGAGAAUCCCGUCCUUGACAUGGACCCCCAAUGCUUUGUGAUACACUUUCAACGAGUCGAGUUGUUUGGGAAUGCAGCUCAAAAUGGGUGGUGAAUUCCAUCUAAAGCUAAAUAUUGGCGAGAGACCGAUAGCGAACAAGUACCGUGAGGGAAAGAUGAAAAGCACUUUGGAAAGAGAGUUAAACAGUACGUGAAAUUGUUGAAAGGGAAACGAUUGAAGUCAGUCAUGCUCUUUGGAUUAAGCCGUUCUGCGGUGUAUUUCAUUGAGCGGGGUCAACAUCAGUUUUGAUCGCUGGAAAAGGGCAGGAGGAAGGUAGCACUCUCGGGUGAACUUAUAGCCUCUUGUCGUAUACAGUGAUUGGGACUGAGGAACGCAGCAUGCCUUUUGGCCGGGAUUCGUCCACGUACAUGCUAGGA